UACGUAGGGAGCGAGCGUUGUCCGGAUUUAUUGGGCGUAAAGGGCGUGUAGGCGGCUUUUUAAGUCUGAGGUGAAACUCCAGGGCUCAACCCUGGAACUGCCUCGGAUACUGGGAAGCUUGAGUGCUCUAGAGGGCAGUGGAAUUCCGGGUGUAGCAGUGAAAUGCGUAGAGAUCCGGAGGAACACCAGUGGCGAAGGCGACUGCCUGGGGAGUAACUGACGCUGAGGCGCGAAAGCUGGGGGAGCAAACGGGAUUAGAAACCCCAGUAGUCC
rnacentral:rRNA from 1 species